rnacentral:tRNA from 1 species
GUGGUUGUUCGUUUAGUGGUAGAAUUUUCACCUUCCACGUGGAACAUCUGGGUUCAAUUCCCAGCCAACAUA